UUUAUUUUUUUUCUUCAUUGUAUAAUAAUAAUAAUACACUCAGUUAAACUAUACUUCCACAGCUUUCUUUGUUCUUAUGUGCUUGAAGGUACUUUUUUCAAGCUAUUAAAGUCUUUUAGGUAACCAAAACUUAUGGGAUAUUUUUCCUCAUUAUUCCACAUAUAUUUGAUUGUUGGUAAGGGACCCCUCAUUUAUCUGCCAGCAUGGCAGUAGAUAGAACAUCAGUUUCAUCUUUUGGAGAGUAUGGAGUGUUAGAUGAACUGAGUCCUUCCAAUUUUCCCUAGGAGUCCUUUCAGUUGUGUUACCAUGAUAAGAAAUAGAUGGUUUGGGGAUGGGUAUCAACACAAAUGCCUCCCUAGCUUAUCAAUUCAUAAAGUAUGGUAUGUCAUUAAUAUUCUGAGCUUGUAUCUUAAGUUAACUGUUGUAAAAUUUCUAAUUGUGAAACAGGUAACUUUCAGAGAUUUUUAUAAAAAAUGUAGAACAUACUUCAUUGUGAUAAUGAUAAGUAGGCAUAAUGCCUGUUUAUAAAUACAAACUGAUAAUCCAGGGAAGAUUUUUCAUAUUUUUAACAAGUACAGUAGUCUUGGGGGGAAAAAAAGCUCUACUAGUUUUUUCCAGUACUAGCUUUAGAAAACAAUUUGAGUUGAUUGCCCUGAUCUCACAUGAUAUGUCUUAUUUUAUAAUUAGAUGGACUGUUAAAUAUUUUAAUGAAUUGGUAUUAUGAAAAUUAUUUUUUAUUUUUAACUUAUAGUCGAUUAAUAGAUGUUUAGAAAUAUUGGGAUUGUUGGUCCUCACUCAUUAUGAGUUUGUUAGUAUAAUGAAAGGAUUAAAAAAGAAUAGUAAUGGGUGGAUAUGGGGGACUUUUGGUAUAGCAUUGGAAAUGUAAAUGAGUUAAAUACCUAAUAAAAAAUGGAAAAAAAAAUUAAAAAAAAAAAGAAUAGGAAAUUUUGACAAUUUUAAGAGCUUAAGGGGAAAUUAAAGCUUUGACUCAUUAGCAUGAAGUUUGUAAAUUUUUUUUAAAAAGUGAAAAAUACAUAAAUUUUAAUUCUGCUUUUCCAUUUGUAUCUUCUACCCUGCAGUUAUCUGUAUUAGUAAGCAUUACCCACAUCUUACAUUUCAUAAGAUUAUAUUUUAGCUUUAUAUCUUGGGCAGGAAAUUGAUUUAUUCAGAUUAAUUAUUUCAAUCCCAAACCAGCUGAGUACUAUUUUUUAAAAUGCUGUAAGGUUUGGUAGGGUGAUUUUAUCCUAAAAUUUGAAAUUGUAUAUAACACUUUUUUGUGCUUUAUUUAUGCAGACUAUCCCCCGAAUCCUAAAUCUAGAACUCCAAGAAUGCUGGUCAUUAAGAAAGGUAAUACAAAAGACUUACAGCUAUCUGGAUUCCCAGUAGCAGGAAACCUCCAGUCACAGCCAGUUAAGAAUGGAACUGGUCCAAGUGUUUAUAAAGGCUUAGUCCCCAAACCUGCUGUUCCACCUACAAAAGUAAGUCCUUUUGUGCAAGCCAGAUUUGUAUAGAUGUCCUGUUUGUGAAUUGUCACACUACACUGAAUUAUUCUGCAUACUUUGACCAGUUGUUUUUUUUUGUUUGUUUGUUUGUUUUUUUGUUUUUUUGUUUUUUUUGUUUUCCUUUUUGGUUUUUUGGGACAGGGUUUCUCUGUGUAGCCCUGGCUGUCCUGGAACUUCUAAACUAGGCAGGCCUUGAACUCAAGAAAUCCGCCCGCCUCUGCCUCCCAAGUGCCGGGAUUAAAGGCGUGCGCCACCACUGCACCACAGUUGUUGUUUUUUAUAGUAGUCUUCAUCUAAUGUAAAAAGUAGAUUCAUGUAUAUAAUUUUUCUUUUUUAGUUCCUCUGUAUUUUGAGGAGAAAAUUAAACUUAAAAUUUUUGCUCUGUUGGAUGUAUAUUUGUUCACUACAUGUAUUGCAGUAUUUACUUGGUGCUAAGUUACAAGUUUUUAAAAUACUAAUGAGUUUUGAUGUAAGGC
rnacentral:lncRNA from 1 species